rnacentral:rRNA from 1 species
GACGAACGCUGGCGGCGUGCUUAACACAUGCAAGUCGAACGGUGAAGCACCUUCCUUUUGGUGGGUGUGGAUGAGUGGCGAACGGGUGAGUAACACGUGAGUAACCUGCCCCCUUCUUCUGGAUAACCGCAUGAAAGUGUGGCUAAUACGGGAUAUUCUGGGUCUGUCGCAUGGCGGGCCUGGGAAAGAUAUUGUUUCGGUGGGGGAUGGGCUCGCGGUCUAUCAGCUUGUUGGUGGGGUGAUGGCCUACCAAGGCGGUGACGGGUAGCCGGCCUGAGAGGGUGGACGGUCACACUGGGACUGAGACACGGCCCAGACUCCUACGGGAGGCAGCAGUGGGGAUUAUUGCACAAUGGGCGCAAGCCUGAUGCAGCGACGCCGCGUGAGGGAUGGAGGCCUUCGGGUUGUAAACCUCUUUCGCCAGUGAAGCAGGCCUGUCCCUUUUGUGGGUGGGUUGACGGUAGCUGGAUAAGAAGCGCCGGCUAACUACGUG